UGUUAAUAUGUUGAUAACAAGGGCAGGUUAAUAUGUUGGAUGACAAGGGCAGGUUAAUAUGUUGGAUAACAAGGGCAGGUUAAUAUGUUGGAUAACAAGGGCAGGUUAAUAUGUUGAUAACAAGGGCAGGUUAAUAUGUUGAUGACAAGGGCAGGUUAAUAUGUUGACAACAAGGGCAGGUUAAUAUGUUGAUAACAAGGGCAGGUUAAUAUGUUGAUAACAAGGGCAGGUUAAUAUGUUGAUGACAAGGGCAGGUUAAUAUGUUGAUAACAAGGGCAGGUUAAUAUGUUGGAUAACAAGGGCAGGUUAAUAUGUUGAUAACAAGGGCAGGUUAAUAUGUUGAUGACAAGGGCAGGUUAAUAUGUUGGUGACAAGGGCAGGUUAAUAUGUUGAUGACAAGGGCAGGUUAAUAUGUUGAUAACAAGGGCAGGUUAAUAUGUUGAUAACAAGGGCAGGUUAAUAUGUUGAUGACAAGGGCAGGUUAAUAUGUUGAUGACAAGGGCAGGUUAAUAUGUUGAUGACAAGGGCAGGUUAAUAUGUUGGUGACAAGGGCAGGUUAAUAUGUUGGAUAACAAGGGCAGGUUAAUAUGUUGAUAACAAGGGCAGGUUAAUAUGUUGAUGACAAGGGCAGGUUAAUAUGUUGAUAACAAGGGCAGGUUAAUAUGUUGGUGACAAGGGCAGGUUAAUAUGUUGAUAACAAGGGCAGGUUAAUAUGUUGAUAACAAGGGCAGGUUAAUAUGUUGGUGACAAGGGCAGGUUAAUAUGUUGGAUAACAAGGGCAGGUUAAUAUGUUGAUAACAAGGGCAGGUUAAUAUGUUGAUAACAAGGGCAGGUUAAUAUGUUGAUAACAAGGGCAGGUUAAUAUGUUGAUAACAAGGGCAGGUUAAUAUGUUGAUAACAAGGGCAGGUUAAUAUGUUGAUAACAAGGGCAGGUUAAUAUGUUGAUGACAAGGGCAGGUUAAUAUGUUGAUGACAAGGGCAGGUUAAUAUGUUGAUAACAAGGGCAGGUUAAUAUGUUGAUAACAAGGGCAGGUUAAUAUGUUGAUAACAAGGGCAGGUUAAUAUGUUGAUGACAAGGGCAGGUUAAUAUGUUGAUAACAAGGGCAGGUUAAUAUGUUGAUAACAAGGGCAGGUUAAUAUGUUGAUAACAAGGGCAGGUUAAUAUGUUGAUAACAAGGGCAGGUUAAUAUGUUGAUAACAAGGGCAGGUUAAUAUGUUGAUGACAAGGGCAGGUUAAUAUGUUGGUGACAAGGGCAGGUUAAUAUGUUGGUGACAAGGGCAGGUUAAUAUGUUGGAUAACAAGGGCAGGUUAAUAUGUUGGAUAACAAGGGCAGGUUAAUAUGUUGAUAACAAGGGCAGGUUAAUAUGUUGAUGACAAGGGCAGGUUAAUAUGUUGAUGACAAGGGCAGGUUAAUAUGUUGAUGACAAGGGCAGGUUAAUAUGUUGGUGACAAGGGCAGGUUAAUAUGUUGAUAACAAGGGCAGGUUAAUAUGUUGAUAACAAGGGCAGGUUAAUAUGUUGAUAACAAGGGCAGGUUAAUAUGUUGAUAACAAGGGCAGGUUAAUAUGUUGAUAACAAGGGCAGGUUAAUAUGUUGGUGACAAGGGCAGGUUAAUAUGUUGGUGACAAGGGCAGGUUAAUAUGUUGAUAACAAGGGCAGGUUAAUAUGUUGAUAACAAGGGCAGGUUAAUAUGUUGAUAACAAGGGCAGGUUAAUAUGUUGAUGACAAGGGCAGGUUAAUAUGUUGGUGACAAGGGCAGGUUAAUAUGUUGAUAACAAGGGCAGGUUAAUAUGUUGAUAACAAGGGCAGGUUAAUAUGUUGAUAACAAGGGCAGGUUAAUAUGUUGAUAACAAGGGCAGGUUAAUAUGUUGAUGACAAGGGCAGGUUAAUAUGUUGGUGACAAGGGCAGGUUAAUAUGUUGAUGACAAGGGCAGGUUAAUAUGUUGAUAACAAGGGCAGGUUAAUAUGUUGGUGACAAGGGCAGGUUAAUAUGUUGAUAACAAGGGCAGGUUAAUAUGUUGAUAACAAGGGCAGGUUAAUAUGUUGGUGACAAGGGCAGGUUAAUAUGUUGAUAACAAGGGCAGGUUAAUAUGUUGAUAACAAGGGCAGGUUAAUAUGUUGGUGACAAGGGCAGGUUAAUAUGUUGAUAACAAGGGCAGGUUAAUAUGUUGGAUAACAAGGGCAGGUUAAUAUGUUGGUGACAAGGGCAGGUUAAUAUGUUGGAUAACAAGGGCAGGUUAAUAUGUUGAUAACAAGGGCAGGUUAAUAUGUUGAUAACAAGGGCAGGUUAAUAUGUUGAUGACAAGGGCAGGUUAAUAUGUUGAUGACAAGGGCAGGUUAAUAUGUUGGUGACAAGGGCAGGUUAAUAUGUUGAUAACAAGGGCAGGUUAAUAUGUUGAUAACAAGGGCAGGUUAAUAUGUUGAUAACAAGGGCAGGUUAAUAUGUUGAUAACAAGGGCAGGUUAAUAUGUUGGUGACAAGGGCAGGUUAAUAUGUUGGUGACAAGGGCAGGUUAAUAUGUUGAUAACAAGGGCAGGUUAAUAUGUUGAUAACAAGGGCAGGUUAAUAUGUUGAUAACAAGGGCAGGUUAAUAUGUUGAUAACAAGGGCAGGUUAAUAUGUUGAUAACAAGGGCAGGUUAAUAUGUUGAUAACAAGGGCAGGUUAAUAUGUUGAUAACAAGGGCAGGUUAAUAUGUUGAUAACAAGGGCAGGUUAAUAUGUUGAUAACAAGGGCAGGUUAAUAUGUUGAUAACAAGGGCAGGUUAAUAUGUUGAUAACAAGGGCAGGUUAAUAUGUUGAUGACAAGGGCAGGUUAAUAUGUUGGAUAACAAGGGCAGGUUAAUAUGUUGAUAACAAGGGCAGGUUAAUAUGUUGAUAACAAGGGCAGGUUAAUAUGUUGAUGACAAGGGCAGGUUAAUAUGUUGAUGACAAGGGCAGGUUAAUAUGUUGAUAACAAGGGCAGGUUAAUAUGUUGAUGACAAGGGCAGGUUAAUAUGUUGAUAACAAGGGCAGGUUAAUAUGUUGAUGACAAGGGCAGGUUAAUAUGUUGAUGACAAGGGCAGGUUAAUAUGUUGGAUAACAAGGGCAGGUUAAUAUGUUGAUAACAAGGGCAGGUUAAUAUGUUGAUAACAAGGGCAGGUUAAUAUGUUGAUAACAAGGGCAGGUUAAUAUGUUGGAUGACAAGGGCAGGUUAAUAUGUUGGAUAACAAGGGCAGGUUAAUAUGUUGAUAACAAGGGCAGGUUAAUAUGUUGAUAACAAGGGCAGGUUAAUAUGUUGAUGACAAGGGCAGGUUAAUAUGUUGAUGACAAGGGCAGGUUAAUAUGUUGAUGACAAGGGCAGGUUAAUAUGUUGAUAACAAGGGCAGGUUAAUAUGUUGAUAACAAGGGCAGGUUAAUAUGUUGAUAACAAGGGCAGGUUAAUAUGUUGAUAACAAGGGCAGGUUAAUAUGUUGAUAACAAGGGCAGGUUAAUAUGUUGAUGACAAGGGCAGGUUAAUAUGUUGAUGACAAGGGCAGGUUAAUAUGUUGGAUAACAAGGGCAGGUUAAUAUGUUGAUGACAAGGGCAGGUUAAUAUGUUGAUGACAAGGGCAGGUUAAUAUGUUGGAUAACAAGGGCAGGUUAAUAUGUUGAUGACAAGGGCAGGUUAAUAUGUUGAUAACAAGGGCAGGUUAAUAUGUUGAUAACAAGGGCAGGUUAAUAUGUUGAUGACAAGGGCAGGUUAAUAUGUUGAUAACAAGGGCAGGUUAAUAUGUUGAUGACAAGGGCAGGUUAAUAUGUUGAUAACAAGGGCAGGUUAAUAUGUUGAUAACAAGGGCAGGUUAAUAUGUUGAUAACAAGGGCAGGUUAAUAUGUUGAUGACAAGGGCAGGUUAAUAUGUUGAUGACAAGGGCAGGUUAAUAUGUUGAUGACAAGGGCAGGUUAAUAUGUUGAUAACAAGGGCAGGUUAAUAUGUUGAUAACAAGGGCAGGUUAAUAUGUUGAUAACAAGGGCAGGUUAAUAUGUUGAUAACAAGGGCAGGUUAAUAUGUUGAUGACAAGGGCAGGUUAAUAUGUUGGUGACAAGGGCAGGUUAAUAUGUUGGAUAACAAGGGCAGGUUAAUAUGUUGAUAACAAGGGCAGGUUAAUAUGUUGAUGACAAGGGCAGGUUAAUAUGUUGGAUAACAAGGGCAGGUUAAUAUGUUGAUAACAAGGGCAGGUUAAUAUGUUGAUGACAAGGGCAGGUUAAUAUGUUGAUAACAAGGGCAGGUUAAUAUGUUGAUAACAAGGGCAGGUUAAUAUGUUGAUGACAAGGGCAGGUUAAUAUGUUGAUAACAAGGGCAGGUUAAUAUGUUGAUGACAAGGGCAGGUUAAUAUGUUGAUAACAAGGGCAGGUUAAUAUGUUGAUGACAAGGGCAGGUUAAUAUGUUGAUAACAAGGGCAGGUUAAUAUGUUGAUAACAAGGGCAGGUUAAUAUGUUGAUAACAAGGGCAGGUUAAUAUGUUGAUAACAAGGGCAGGUUAAUAUGUUGAUGACAAGGGCAGGUUAAUAUGUUGAUGACAAGGGCAGGUUAAUAUGUUGAUGACAAGGGCAGGUUAAUAUGUUGAUGACAAGGGCAGGUUAAUAUGUUGAUGACAAGGGCAGGUUAAUAUGUUGAUGACAAGGGCAGGUUAAUAUGUUGAUGACAAGGGCAGGUUAAUAUGUUGAUAACAAGGGCAGGUUAAUAUGUUGAUAACAAGGGCAGGUUAAUAUGUUGGAUAACAAGGGCAGGUUAAUAUGUUGAUAACAAGGGCAGGUUAAUAUGUUGAUAACAAGGGCAGGUUAAUAUGUUGAUAACAAGGGCAGGUUAAUAUGUUGAUAACAAGGGCAGGUUAAUAUGUUGAUGACAAGGGCAGGUUAAUAUGUUGAUGACAAGGGCAGGUUAAUAUGUUGAUAACAAGGGCAGGUUAAUAUGUUGAUAACAAGGGCAGGUUAAUAUGUUGAUAACAAGGGCAGGUUAAUAUGUUGAUAACAAGGGCAGGUUAAUAUGUUGAUAACAAGGGCAGGUUAAUAUGUUGAUAACAAGGGCAGGUUAAUAUGUUGAUAACAAGGGCAGGUUAAUAUGUUGAUAACAAGGGCAGGUUAAUAUGUUGAUGACAAGGGCAGGUUAAUAUGUUGAUGACAAGGGCAGGUUAAUAUGUUGAUAACAAGGGCAGGUUAAUAUGUUGAUAACAAGGGCAGGUUAAUAUGUUGAUAACAAGGGCAGGUUAAUAUGUUGAUGACAAGGGCAGGUUAAUAUGUUGAUGACAAGGGCAGGUUAAUAUGUUGAUAACAAGGGCAGGUUAAUAUGUUGAUAACAAGGGCAGGUUAAUAUGUUGAUAACAAGGGCAGGUUAAUAUGUUGAUAACAAGGGCAGGUUAAUAUGUUGAUAACAAGGGCAGGUUAAUAUGUUGAUAACAAGGGCAGGUUAAUAUGUUGAUAACAAGGGCAGGUUAAUAUGUUGAUGACAAGGGCAGGUUAAUAUGUUGGAUAACAAGGGCAGGUUAAUAUGUUGGUGACAAGGGCAGGUUAAUAUGUUGGAUAACAAGGGCAGGUUAAUAUGUUGAUAACAAGGGCAGGUUAAUAUGUUGAUAACAAGGGCAGGUUAAUAUGUUGAUGACAAGGGCAGGUUAAUAUGUUGAUGACAAGGGCAGGUUAAUAUGUUGAUAACAAGGGCAGGUUAAUAUGUUGAUGACAAGGGCAGGUUAAUAUGUUGAUAACAAGGGCAGGUUAAUAUGUUGAUAACAAGGGCAGGUUAAUAUGUUGAUAACAAGGGCAGGUUAAUAUGUUGAUAACAAGGGCAGGUUAAUAUGUUGAUAACAAGGGCAGGUUAAUAUGUUGAUAACAAGGGCAGGUUAAUAUGUUGAUGACAAGGGCAGGUUAAUAUGUUGAUAACAAGGGCAGGUUAAUAUGUUGGAGGGGUACUAGAGAUCUUUAGUUAUUGGCUAGACUGAACAUGUAGAAGCAUUCUUUCAAUACACAGAUGAUUAUCUGAACUCUGAACCUGAAGUAAUUUAUUCUCUGUGACAAUAAGAUAGUAUGCUUACACACACACACACACACACACACACACACACACACACACACACACACACACACACACACACACACACACACACACACACACACUGUCCUUGACCCUGUUCCUGUCUACUGAUGGAGAAAACCUUCCCAUCGCUUCAGCCUAACUUUAAAAUGACCUCUCACACUAAUCUCUCCUCCACUUGACCUUCUCCUUUUUUGAUUUGUUUACACACAAUCAUUCCCCCCAUUCAUCACAGUCUGCACGGUGACAGUCUGCACGGUGACCGUUUACCCAUUCAGCAGUUAUCACGUCACUCACCAUGGAACUCCCUGAAUUAACCAGACGUUCUCUCCUACAUAUUUACUCUCGCUCUUUUUCUUGCCCUCACUCCCUCUAUUCCCAACUCAACUCCCAUCUCUCCCCAUUCCUCUUACUCUUUCUUUCCUUUCGCUCUGUCCUUUUUGCUCUAAUGCUCCCCCUUCUCUCUCUAUCAUUAGCUAAGUCAUUAAGUUAAACCAGCACCCAGAAGCCCUUUAAACCUCUGCAGCGUGACAUUAAGGUGCCGUUUUAGAAGUGUAGGUAAUCUGUGAGAGAGAAACAGUCUGGAGGGAACGAGACAGAAGAAGACUGUUUCUGAGACAAGACGGCCAUCAGAAAGAACAUGGCAGAAAGAGGGGGGAGGGAGAGGUGGUUAGAGAUGGAUGGAGGGUGAAAGAGAGCAGGGAAAUGGACCAGAAAGAGCGACGGGUGGAGAUGGAGGGAGAGAGGGAGAGAGAG